AGAUUGAACGCUGGCGGCAUGCCUUACACAUGCAAGUCGAACGGUAGAGUAGCAAUACUUGAGAGUGGCGAACGGGUGAGUAAUAUAUCGGAACGUGCCCAGUCGUGGGGGAUAACGUAGAGAAAUUUACGCUAAUACCGCAUACGAUCUAAGGAUGAAAGCGGGGACCGUAAGGCCUCGCGCGAUUGGAGCGGCUGAUAUCAGAUUAGGUUGUUGGUGAGGUAAAAGCUCACCAAGCCGACGAUCUGUAGCUGGUUUGAGAGAACGACCAGCCACACUGGGACUGAGACACGGCCCAGACUCCUACGGGAGCAGCAGUGGGGAAUUUGGACAAUGGG
rnacentral:rRNA from 1 species